UACGGGGGGGAGCAAGCGUUGUUCGGAUUUACUGGGCGUAAAGGGCGCGUAGGCGGCCAGCACAAGUCAGUUGUGAAAUCUCCGAGCUUAACUCGGAACGGUCAACUGAUACUGUGCGGCUAGAGUGCGGAAGGGGCAACUGGAAUUCUUGGUGUAGCGGUGAAAUGCGUAGAUAUCAAGAGGAACACCUGCGGCGAAGGCGGGUUGCUGGGCUGAUACUGACGCUGAGGCGCGAAAGCUAGGGGAGCAAACGGG
rnacentral:rRNA from 1 species